rnacentral:rRNA from 1 species
GACGAACGCUGGCGGCGUGCCUAAUACAUGCAAGUCGAACGCUGAAGGAGGAGCUUGCUUCUCUGGAUGAGUUGCGAACGGGUGAGUAACGCGUAGGUAACCUGCCUGGUAGCGGGGGAUAACUAUUGGAAACGAUAGCUAAUACCGCAUAAGAGUAGAUGUUGCAUGACAUUUGCUUAAAAGGUGCAAUUGCAUCACUACCAGAUGGACCUGCGUUGUAUUAGCUAGUUGGUGGGGUAACGGCCCACCAAGGCGACGAUACAUAGCCGACCUGAGAGGGUGAUCGGCCACACUGGGACUGAGACACGGCCCAGACUCCUACGGGAGGCAGCAGUAGGGAAUCUUCGGCAAUGGACGGAAGUCUGACCGAGCAACGCCGCGUGAGUGAAGAAGGUUUUCGGAUCGUAAAGCUCUGUUGUAAGAGAAGAACGAGUGUGAGAGUGGAAAGUUCACACUGUGACGGUAGCUUACCAGAAAGGGACGGCUAACUACGUG